AGAGUUUGAUCCUGGCUCAGAACGAACGCUGGCGGCAGGCUUAACACAUGCAAGUCGAGCGCCCCGCAAGGGGAGCGGCAGACGGGUGAGUAACGCGUGGGAAUCUACCCAUCUCUACGGAAUAACGCAUGGAAACGUGUGCUAAUACCGUAUACGUCCUUCGGGAGAAAGAUUUAUCGGAGAUGGAUGAGCCCGCGUUGGAUUAGCUAGUUGGUGGGGUAAAGGCCUACCAAGGCGACGGUCCAUAGCUGGUCUGAGAGGAUGAUCAGCCACACUGGGACUGAGACACGGCCCAGACUCCUACGGGGGGCAGCAGUGGGGAAUAUUGGACAAUGGGCGCAAGCCUGAUCCAGCCAUGCCGC
rnacentral:rRNA from 1 species